rnacentral:lncRNA from 1 species
GUCCUCGAGCACAAGACUGCCCGGAAAUUCGGAACCGCCCAAAUCUACUUAGAGCCCGAAGAAUUUUUGUGGUUCCAGACCUGGCUCAGGCUGAGAGACAGAGCCGUUGCCAGGAAUGGCUAUUUAUUUUCGUCUCUUGGCCGUGGGGAGGCGAAAGACAUGGCCCGUUAUUUCAGCAAAGCCUGGAAAGAGAUGGGACUCUAGGGGUACCCUACCAUCAUGGACAUACGAACGGCUGUGUCCACCUACAAUUUUCAGGAGAACAACCCGGAGGUGCGGGAGAACCUCUCUAAAUUCAUGUGCCACAACGUGGGCACCCAGGAGAGGUUCUAUGCCUUACACAAGAACGUCUCCCGGGCAAGAGAGAUCCGGCAGCUUUUUGUCUGCCUCUCGCUAAGAGAGGGGGCUCAUCAAAAGACGAGCCGGCUGCUCCCGCACAUUUACCCGCUGAACCACAGGCUCCUGCUAGUCCCGGUCCUGCUCCUGCCAGUCCCGGUCCUGCUCCUCCCACUGCCGCCUCCGGGUCUCGAGCGGCGGAGGAGAGAAGGCGCAGUGAGUACUGAUUCCACGACCCCGGAAAGCGGCGAGGUCCAGGCGUUGGGUCGCUGUAAAGCUCGCGGCCGGAGCCGCGAGCCACCUUCGCCCCGAGCCCUUCCUGGCCGAUCCAGAGUCGGUCGCGGCGCACCACCGGCGGAGGAAAUGCGCCCGGCGGGGGCCAGCCAACCGGCGGGGAGUUCCCACGGAGGGGAUCCUCCCGCGCCGAGCGGCCGUCCCUGACCUGCCGAGUUGAAUCCCCCGGGCGGACUGCGCGGACCCCACCCGUUUACCUCUUAACGGUUUCACGCCCUCUUGAACUCUCUCUUCAAAGUUCUUUUCAACUUUCCCUUAAGGUACUUGUCGACUAUCGG